GACGAACGCUGGCGGCGUGCUUAACACAUGCAAGUCGAGCGGUAAGGCCCUUUCGGGGGUACACGAGCGGCGAACGGGUGAGUAACACGUGGGUGACCUGCCCUCAGCUCUGGGAUAAGCCUGGGAAACCGGGUCUAAUACCGGAUAUGACUCCAUGACGCAUGUUGUGGGGUGGAAAGCCUUGUGCGGCUGAGGAUGGGCCCGCGGCCUAUCAGCUUGUUGGUGGGGUGAUGGCCUACCAAGGCGACGACGGGUAGCCGGCCUGAGAGGGCGACCGGCCACACUGGGACUGAGACACGGCCCAGACUCCGUACGGGGGGCAGCAGUGGGGAAUCUUGCGCAAUGGGCGAAAGCCUGACGCAGCGACGCCGCGUGA
rnacentral:rRNA from 1 species